GUCUUUUUAUUCUCUCUCUCCCCACCCCUGGUGACAUGACACCGCUCCCACGGGUGACCAAAUGCCACCAAGUUUCUGCUCCGCGUGGGAAGAGGAAAAUGCGGAAAGAGAAAGGGGCAGCGUCAGGACUGUUCAAACACUGGAGAGGAAAGGGACCGGAAAUGAGCUCGGAGACCUGGAGAAUCAAGUGCCUAGCAGGGAGACAGUAGACGGCUGGAUAUAUGCGAAGAUGAGUUCCUCUUCCUACAUACGUUGGUCUCAACAUAGCCAGUGCUGAGGAGAAUGGCUUAUAAAGGAAAGCAGGAAGAUCAUAGCCAGCCCCCAUCAAGAUAAUGGAGGUGAAUGUGCUUUGAGAAGUGUGUGCAAACUGAUUUUACCAUCUCACUGCGUCUUAUCACACAAGAAGUAUCUCAAACCUAAGAAGGAAGCUGCUGCCUGAAAAUAAGGAGGGAGCCUGCAACGUUCAGAGGAGACAACUUCAGCCAGGGUCCUUCAGCUAUCGACCGAGCAAAGACGGAAGAAUGCCCUCUCCUGGACUGCACCAGAAAACCCUCAUUUUGCCAAGACACUUAUUUCUCCAUGAUGGAGUGUUUUGUUUUUGAUGGUUUUAAAAUAUAUUUGAUGGGCUGGAGAGAUGGCUCAGAGGUU